rnacentral:misc_RNA from 1 species
GGGAACGCGAAAUGACUUUAGGUUUUGUUGAUUUAUUGCGCGAUGAUUUUAUUGAAAAAGAUCGUGCUCGCGGUAUCUUUUUCACUCAGGACUGGGUAUCCAUGCCAGGUGUUAUACCGGUGGCUUCAGGGGGUAUUCAUGUUUGGCAUAUGCCAGCUCUGACCGAAAUCUUUGGAGAUGAUUCUGUAUUGCAAUUUGGUGGAGGAACUUUAGGACAUCCUUGGGGUAAUGCACCUGGUGCAGCAGCUAAUCGGGUGGCUUUAGAAGCCUGUGUACAAGCUCGUAACGAAGGGCGCGAUCUUGCUCGUGAAGGUAAUGAAAUUAUCCGAUCAGCUUGCAAAUGGAGUCCUGAACUAGCCGCAGCUUGUGAAAUAUGGAAAGCGAUCAAAUUCGAGUUCGAGCCGGUAGAUAAACUAGAUAGCUAGACUAAGUGGAUAAAAUUAGAUAGAAAAAAGGUCUAAAUAAAAAAG